UCAGGAUGAACGCUAGCGGCAGGCUUAACACAUGCAAGUCGAGGGGCAUCGCGGGUGGCAACACCCGGCGGCGACCGGCGAACGGGUGAGUAACGCGUGAGCAACAUGUCCUCAGUCGGGGGAUAAGCGAGGGAAACUUCGUCUAAUACCCCAUAACACUUUCAGGCGCAUGCCUUUAAGUUGAAAGCUUUUUUUUUGCGACUUUGGUUUGGCUCGCGUGACAUUAGCUAGUCGGUGGGGUAACGGCCCACCGAGGCUACGAUGUCUAGGGGUUCUGAGAGGAAGGCCCCCCACAUUGGGACUGGGACACGGCCCAAACUCCUACGGGAGGCAGCAGUGAGGAAUAUUGGUCAAUGGACGGAAGUCUGAACCAGCCAUGCCGCGUGAAGGAAGACUGCCCUAUGGGUUGUAAACUUCUUUUGCAGCAGAGCAAUAAGGCGUACGCGUACGCCGAUGAGAGUAUGUUGCGAAUAAGCAUCGGCUAACUCCGUGCCAGCAGCCGCGGUAAUACGGAGGAUGCGAGCGUUAUCCGGAUUUAUUGGGUUUAAA
rnacentral:rRNA from 1 species